AGAGUUUGAUCCUGGCUCAGAACGAACGCUGGCGGCGUGCUUAAGACAUGCAAGUCGAACGGAAAGGCUCUCUUCGGAGAGUACUCGAGUGGCGCACGGGUGAGUAACGCGUGGGUAAUCUGCCCUUACGUCGGGGACAACUCCGGGAAACUGGAGCUAAUACCGGAUAAGACCACGGGAUCUCCGGAUCCUGCGGAAAAAGGUGGCCUCUCCUUGGAAGCUAUCGCGAAAGGAUGAGCCCGCGUUUGAUUAGCUUGUUGGUGAGGUAACGGCUCACCAAGGCGACGAUCAAUAGCUGGUCUGAGAGGAUGAUCAGCCACACUGGAACUGAGACACGGUCCAGACUCCUACGGGAGGCAGCAGUCGGGAAUUUUGGGCAAUGGGCGAAAGCCUGACCCAGCAACGCCGCGUGAGGGAUGAAGGCCUUCGGGUCGUAAACCUCUGUCGAGAGGGAAGAACGUUAGUCGAGUUAAUACCUCGAUUGGCUGACGGUACCUCCAAAGGAAGCACCGGCUAACUCCGUGCCAGCAGCCGCGGUAAUACGGAGGGUGCAAGCGUUGUUCGGAAUCAUUGGGCGUAAAGCGCGUGUAGGCGGCUUGGAAAGUCGGAUGUGAAAUCCCGGGGCCCAACCCCGGAACUGCAUUCCAAACUUCCUGGCUAGAGUCUCGGAGAGGAAAGCGGAAUUCCCGGGGUAAAGGU
rnacentral:rRNA from 1 species